rnacentral:lncRNA from 1 species
UUGGUUUACAUAGGAUUCCUUUUUCAUACUUUCCACUUCUUUGGUUUCCAAAUUUAAAAACCUGGUUCAUUUGUUUUUUCAAUUAAUAUUGAUUUAGCAUCUUCCGUGGGACAAGCCCUGAUCUUGGUGUUGGAAAUUAAAUGGUAAAACAGAUAUAUAUGGUCUUCACUCUCCAGAUCUUACAGUCUAGAGGUGAAUAUAGACUAGCAAAUAUACAAUACACCAUAUCCAGGGUGAUAAGGACUUGAUGAGGAAGUAUAAAGGGAUACCUAAACCUUGUGGAGAAGAGUACAAAGGGAGUACAGUUGGCUAAGUGGUUGACUUUUGGUUUCAGCUCCGGUUGUGAUCUCAAGACCCUGAUCUCAGGGUCAUGGGAUUGAGCCCCAAGUUGAGCUCUGUGCUCAGUGCUGAGUCUGCUUAAGACUCUCUCUCCCUCUGCCCCUCCCUGCUCUCUCUCUCUCUCUCUCAAAUAAAUAAAUAAACCUUAAAAUAAAUCCUGUGGAGAAAUCAGGAACACUAUUAAAACUGAUACAUAGAGCCAUUAGAAAUAAGCUUCUUCAAGCAUGUUGGCCUACAGACUGCUUUGGAUUCCUCCUUUACCUUACUGUUCAGCACCUUGGUGCCCAUCCCAUAACCUAUGCUGCAGCCAAGCAUGCCAUUGUUAUGCUGGUUCCUUCUGCGUGGGUGCUUGGACUACUACUCGCUCACAUUAUCUGGUAGGAGAUUCCACAAAAUCUCAUGGCUAAAUAUACCUAGCCUUGGAUAUUCUGUGUUUCCCAUAACCCACUAUCUUACCCAAUUAACUAGACAUAGCCAGGGAGAGGGUAUAAGGAGGCAGGAGAAGAGCAAGAGAACACAUACUUUAGGCAUACCUGCAUUUAGGGGGAAGAAGUAAGAGCUAAAGAAGGAUCAAGAGGAAUUGCAGUCAGAGAGACAGGAAGCCGAGAGGGGUUUAGGGUCAUGGAAGCCUUGGGAGGAGAGGAUUUUUAAUGUUUCCAUUGCUAUAGAGAAGUCAGGAAUGUUAAAGACUAUUAUGCAGCCUUGGAUCUGAUGAUGCAAUAGGUAAUGACAAUCCCCAAGGAGCAACUUUGCUGCACGGUAAGGUCACAAUGAGUAAGGAUUAUAUAAUCCAAUGUGAUUGUGAGUGGUGAGGCAAUGAAAAUGAGUACUGACUUGCUUCUUGACAAUUUGGGGAGUAGAGAGAAAGUGAGAGAUAGGGUGGUACCUUAAGGGAAUAGCAGGGUCAGGAGAAGGUUGAUGCUUUUUUGAAUGACCAAAUGCUUCACUUAUAUACAUCUCUCAUCACAAAAGACUGAUGAAUGUAGCUAUGCCACGGUUGCUGGGCACUGGGAUAAUGCAUACAGUCAACAUUCUGAAAUGCUUCUUAAAAGAGCACUUGAAUCAUAACCUAAAUUUUUAGGAGGGGCAGCGAUUUCUUAUCCACCAUAUCUUGAUCAAACGUCAGAUAGCCUUAACCUAAUAUUUGAAAAGUGAAUAGUUUAAACUCAUUUGUUGAGUUGUUCUUUUGCAGUGGGGUAAUAGCCAAACAGCGACAACCAAACAGAGAAUUUUGCAAGCAGAGCACUUCUGCUGGCAGCAGCAGUCCAGGGUGGCAGCUGUUCUGGAUGAAAGACAUGGGUUUGAGAUUGAGAGAACAGAGAGAAAGCUUGAAGGGUGAGAAAGAGGAUGGUCCCCAAAGUCUUCUUAGACUAAAUAUAUAACAUAGAAUAGAAGAGUACUUUAGGUAAAGGGUAAUGGAGCAAAAAAAAAAAAAAAACAUCCUGCAGCUUACACACACACACACACACACACACACACACACGUACUAUUGGUCUACCUUCAGGUAUACCUGCUGAAGCUCAAGCUUGCCCACACUCUGAGAUCAUUAUUCUUCCAGGGAGAAAGCAGACAAGAAGUCUCUGCACUGUUUUCUCAGACUCUUCGUCUCAUUCUAAGGGUCUGCUGCCCAGAUGCUGAACCUUUGCUGCCUUCUCUAGAUUCAGAGUCCAAAGUGCUGACCAUUACACUAUAAGGCUAACCUCCUUUGCUGCCUUCUCAUUUACUCUUUCAUUUCUGAGUCCUGGCUUCCUCUGAUUCCCCAUUGUUGAUGCUUGCCCUACAGGGACUUGUUUCCCCCACUGCUCAUCCUUGGGGGCCUCUCCUCAUGCUGCACUUCACCCAUCACCCUUGCCCUUCCUGCAUCUCCAAGAACCAGUGCUAGCUCACUGGGCCAGCAAUAAGUUAAUAAUAAUAUCAGCUAACUAGUGUUUACUAUGUGCCAGGCAUGGUUCUAACUGCUUCAUACAAAUUAUUUCAUUUUAUCAUCUUAACAACUCUUUGGAGGUGAUGGAUUUACAGAUGAGGACACAGGAACACCGUUUAAGCAACUUGUCCAGGUUACACAUCUAGGAAGUUUCAGAGCUGAGAGUCUGGCUUCAGAGCCCAACUUCUUAACCCUUAUAUUAUAUUGCCUCAUCCAUAAGUUUAGAUGAAAAGGACCAGAGACACAGACAAUUUGUCUCUACCACGAGGGAUCAAAAAUGUAGGCAGAUGCUGGGUAUCAGAAGCAUAGAAAUCCAGGCCUAGAAUCAGGAUAGUAGGUUGAAAGCCUCAGGAGACAUAAAGAAGCUUUAUGCCAUCAUAGGCCGCCAACAGAGACUUUCCUUCAGAAAAGCCUUGCCCCGGGCAGCCCAGGGGGCUCAGCAGUUUAGAGCCGCCUUCAGCCCAGGGCAUGAUCCUGGAGUCCCAGGAUAGAGUCCCACAUCAGGCUCCCUGCAUGGAGCCUGCUUCUCCCUCUGCCUGUGUCUCUGCCUCUCUUUCUCUCUCUCUCUCUCUCUCUCUCUCUCUCUCUGUCUCUCAUUAAUAAAUAAAUAAAAUCUUAAAAAAAAAAAAAAAAA